rnacentral:rRNA from 1 species
GACGUAGGGCGCGAGCGUUGUCCGGAUUUAUUGGGCGUAAAGAGCUCGUAGGCGGCUUGUUGCGUCAGCUGUGAAAACCCGCAGCUCAACUGUGGGCUUGCAGCUGAUACGGGCAGGCUUGAGUUCGGUAGGGGAGACUGGAAUUCCUGGUGUAGCGGUGAAAUGCGCAGAUAUCAGGAGGAGCACCGGUGGCGAAGGCGGAUCUCUGGGCCUGUCCUGACGCUGAGGCGCGAAAGCUAGGGGAGCGAACAGG